rnacentral:rRNA from 1 species
UGACUGACCGAUAGUGAACCAGUACCGUGAGGGAAAGGCGAAAAGAACCCCUGUGAGGGGAGUGAAAUAGAACCUGAAACCGUGUACGUACAAGCAGUAGGAGCAGGCUUUAUCCUGUGACUGCGUACCUUUUGUAUAAUGGGUCAGCGACUUAUAUUCAGUGGCAAGGUUAACCAUCUAGGGGAGCCGUAGGGAAACCGAGUCUUAACUGGGCGUUCAGUCU